rnacentral:rRNA from 1 species
AUGAGCCGCCGCCGUUCCCCGCCGUCGGCGCCCCCACUGGACGACGAGGACCUCCUCCGGGAGAUCCUGCUGCGCCUCCCUCUGCAGCCAUCCUUCCUCGCCCGCGCCUCCUCGGUCUGCACGCGCUGGCGCGGCAUCCUCUCCGACCCCCAAUUCCGCAAACGCUUCCGCAGACACCAUGGGAAACCUCUGCUCCUCGGCUUCUUCGCGGGGCCUGUUUCCAGAGAGCACAUCUUCACUCCCGUCCUGGACUCGCCGGACCGCAUCCCUGCCGCACGCUUCUCCUUGACCAUGCCACAGAGCCGCGGCCCCUUCGACCGCUGGGACUUGGUUGGCUGCCGUCACGGCCUCGCCGUCCUGAUCAACAAGUGCCGGGAAGAGGUUGUCGUAUCGGAUCCCCUGACCGGCCGGCAGCAGCGCGUGCGUUUUCCACGGGGGCAUGUGCAUGGCGAUUGCUUAUCGAGCCCGUUCAAAUUGUUCUUGAUACGCAAUGGAGACAUGCGGACAUUAGGCUCUCUCUACGACUCGGUGUCUGGUGUUUGGGGAAAUAUUUUCUCGGCGACUACAAAUAGUAUCUGUAGUAUAAGGUCCAGCAUCUUUGCCGGGAAUGCACUUUGCUGGUUGAUUUCGGGAGGUGCUGUCCUUGUGUUUGAUUUGGAAAUGCAGAACCUUAGUGUGAUCGAGAAGCCAGCAGAAAACCAUGUUGUCGCUAACUCGUGUUUUCAGCUAGUACGGAUGGAGGAUGGCGGACUUGGCCUCGCUGUUUUGUCGAAACUUACUAUCCAAUUAUGGGUGAGGAACACUAACCAUGAUGGUGUUGUUGGAUGGGUGUUGCUGCAGAAAACCAUUCCACUGGACGGGAUGUUUAAACGGAGAAUGUGUAGUGACCAAAAAGGGGCACUCUUUGUGGGGUAUGAUGAGGACACAAAUGUGAUUGUUCUGACUACAAUGAUUGGCAACUUCAUGCUCCAACUUGACUCGAUGCAGCUCAAACAUAUUAUUAAAAGAAAUGACAUAUGUUUCGACACCUUUUAUCCCUACACGAAUUUCUAUACUGCAGGUAGGAGAAUUGCUGGUGGAGAUGGUGGAGCUGAAAAUGCAAACACAUGA